rnacentral:rRNA from 1 species
GACGAACGCUGGCGGCGUGCUUAACACAUGCAAGUCGAACGAAGUGGCGAACGGGUGAGUAAUACGUGGGUAACCUGCCCUCCUUUUUGGGAUAAGCCUUGGAAACGGGGUCUAAUACCGAAUAAAGGGGGAUGGGCUCGCGGCCUAUCAGAUUGUUGGUGGGGUGAUGGCCUACCAAGGCGGUGACGGGUAGCCGGCCUGAGAGGGGGACGGAUGACAUUGGGUAUGAGAUACGGCCAAGACUCAUACGGGAGGCAGUAUUGGGGUAUAGUGCACAAUGUGCGGAAGCCUGAUACAGGGACUCCGCGUGUGGGAGGAAGGCGUUGGGGUUGUAAUCCUCUUUUGCGAUCGAACGGUUAGGUGCUGAUGAAGCGCUGGCUAACUACGUGCCAGGCGCCGCGGUACUAC